rnacentral:rRNA from 1 species
UCAGGUAGGAAGACCCGCUGAACUUAAGCAUAU